AUUGAUGAGUUUUUGAGCUUUCCCCCUCUUCGACCUUCAUUCUGUUUGUAUUUUUUGAAUAAAACAAACA
ensembl:ncRNA T01H8.6 ncRNA